rnacentral:rRNA from 1 species
AUGGCCAGGGACACGGCUUCUUCCUCCUCCCAUGGAGUGAAGAACUUUCCAGCCCAUGGUCUACUGUUCUUGUCCAGCUCGGUUUGGAAGGCCCGUUCGCUACUACUCCUUCCGUCCGGAAAAAGUUGUCUCCGCCGAAGUUUUACGAAAAACCCCUUCCCUUUCUUCCGACAAGCCACGCAGCCCAUCGCGCCUGCUCCGUCGCCUCGCCACGCGCCGGCGGCCUGCUCCGCUGCCUUGCCGCCUACUCUGCCGCCUCUCCGCCUGCUCCGUCGCCUCGCCACGCGCCGGCCGCCUCCUCCCCUCGUCUCGCCGCUUCUCUUCCUUCGCACCAGGAGAUCCAGAGGGAAGGAUCCCCUUUUCUGCAAAGCCCGCGACUUCCCGACUCCGGCGGCGGUGCUCAUGUCCUGGAGGGAGUUGGGGCUUGAUCUGGAGGCAUGGAAGAUCCUCGAGCUCCUCGUCCUCGAGCUCCUCAUCCACCAGUUCCUCCUCCAGACCCCGAGCGGCUGCUGCGGAAUUCGACGGCGUGGGGGAAGACGACCACGGCAUGGGGAAGAUGAAGACUUGCUCCAGCCACAUGCCACUGCCCCGUGCUCGUCUUGCCGCUGCCAUUUCCCUCCUCGAGCUGGCGGACUGAUGAUGGAGGACCCGCCCUCUUCGCUGCACCGGCGCCGUUGCUGCCGCAUCUGCUCUGCUCCUGCUGCCCGCUCGCCCACGGUAGCGCAGCGAUUGGAGGAGGACUUGGUGCAGAGGAAUGGAGUACGAGUACGGAUGCUGCUUCCGUUAAUCUCAGCAGAGGCAGCAAAGGAGGCGGGAGGAAGUCAUGGAGUAGUACCAGCAGAGGCAGAAGAGGAGGCGGGAAGAAGUCGAGGCCAAUCGAUUAGAAGCAGAGGCAACAACAGAGGUGGGAGGCGGCACUCGUCCUGCGAGCAGGUGGGUGGCGGCGGCCAGAGGAAGCGCACCGGCCAGAGCAAGCGCACCAGCGGGAGCUCGGGGCGCGACUCCUGUACGCCGUCUUUUCAACGGGUGGCGUCACCUGUGCCGCACUGA